GUUUGAUCAUGGCUCAGAAUGAACGCUGGCGGCAUGCCUAACACAUGCAAGUCGAACGAAGGCUUCGGCCUUAGUGGCGCACGGGUGCGUAACGCGUGGGAAUCUGCCCUUGGGUUCGGAAUAACUCAGAGAAAUUUGAGCUAAUACCGGAUGAUGCCGAAAGACCAAAGAUUUAUCGCCCGAGGAUGAGCCCGCGUAGGAUUAGCUAGUUGGUGAGGUAAAGGCUCACCAAGGCGACGAUCCUUAGCUGGUCUGAGAGGAUGAUCAGCCACACUGGGACUGAGACACGGCCCAGACUCCUACGGGAGGCAGCAGUGGGGAAUAUUGGACAAUGGGCGAAAGCCUGAUCCAGCAAUGCCGCGUGAGUGAUGAAGGCCUUAGGGUUGUAAAGCUCUUUUACCCGGGAUGAUAAUGACAGUACCGGGAGAAUAAGCUCCGGCUAACUCCGUGCCAGCAGCCGCGGUAAUACGGAGGGAACUAGCGUUAUUCCGAAUUACUGGGCGUUAAGCGCACGUAGCNGCUUUGUAAGUCAGAGGUGAAAGCCUGGAACUCAACUCCAGAACUGCCUUUGAGACUGCAUCGCUUGAAUCCAGGAGAGGUGAGUGGAAUUCCCA
rnacentral:rRNA from 1 species